GGUUGCGAUCAUACCAGCACUAAUGCACCGGAUCCCAUCAGAACUCCGCAGUUAAGCGUGCUUGGGCUAGAGUAGUACUAGGAUGGGUGACCCACUGGGAAGUCCUCGUGUUGCAACCC
rnacentral:rRNA from 1 species